rnacentral:rRNA from 1 species
GACAGAGGUGGCGAGCGUUGUCCGGAUUUACUGGGCGUAAAGGGCGUGUAGGCGGUUUCGCAAGUCAGUCGUGAAAGGCGCCGGCUCAACCGGAGCAGUGCGACUGAGACUGCGAGGCUUCGAGGAUGGGAGAGGGAAGUGGAAUUCCCGGUGUAGCAGUGAAAUGCGUAGAUAUCGGGAAGAACACCAAUGGCGAAGGCGACUUCCUGGCCCGUUUCUGACGCUGAGGCGCGAAAGCCAGGGGAGCAAACGGG